rnacentral:rRNA from 1 species
GUCGUAACAUGGUCUCCGUAGGUGA